rnacentral:sRNA from 1 species
CCCCAGGUACAGACGCCCGAUGCCGGCGCU